UACGAAGGGGGCUAGCGUUGCUCGGAAUUACUGGGCGUAAAGGGCGCGUAGGCGGACAGUUUAGUCAGAGGUGAAGGCCCAGGGCUCAACCUUGGAAUUGCCUUUGAUACUGGCUGUCUUGAGUCCGGGAGAGGUGAGUGGAAUGCCGAGUGUAGAGGUGAAAUUCGUAGAUAUUCGGCGGAACACCAGUGGCGAAGGCGACUCACUGGCCCGAUACUGACGCUGAGGCGCGAAAGCGUGGGGAGCAAACAGG
rnacentral:rRNA from 1 species